rnacentral:rRNA from 1 species
GAUGAACGCUAGCGAUAGGCCUAACACAUGCAAGUCGAGGGGCAGCAUAGAGUAGCAAUACUCAGAUGGCGACCGGCGCACGGGUGAGUAACGCGUAUGCAAUCUACCUACAACAGGGGGAUAACCCGGAGAAAUCCGGACUAAUACCGCAUAAGACAGGGGUCCCGCAUGGGAAUAUUUGUUAAAGAUUUAUCGGUUGUAGAUGAGCAUGCGCUCCAUUAGGUAGUUGGUGAGGUAACGGCCCACCAAGCCAACGAUGGAUAGGGGAACUGAGAGGUUUGUCCCCCACACUGGAACUGAGACACGGACCAGACUCCUACGGGAGGCAGCAGUGAGGAAUAUUGGUCAAUGGGCGAGAGCCUGAACCAGCCAAAUCGCGUGAAGGAAGACUGCCUUAUGGGUUGUAAACUUCUUUUACAGGGGAAUAAAAAGGCUUACGUGUAGGUUAUUGCAUGUACCCUGUGAAUAAGCAUCGGCUAACUCCGUGCCAGCCGCCGCCGUAAGAC